GGGCCCUGUUGGCUGAUCGUGGCCUGAAGCUGGGAGGUGGUGGCCCUCGCUGUGGGUUGUGUGGCAGGUAGAACAAUAAGAAUCAUACAACUCAAUAUAGUCCGUACGUGCCCGGAACUGUUCUAAGCGUUUUGGCUCUGUCGAUUGAUUUAAAACCCACGAACAGGCUGGAAUCCAGACGCAGGGGGUCAUUUUGUCUAAGCUCACACAGCUUCGCUAAGAAGUAGAGUCCAAACAAGACUGUCCCGGAGUUCUUUUAAUCACGUUACCUUUAAAAUGGUGAAAUGCAUGCUUAGCCAAGGAAAAAGGAUCUGGCCUUCUGUCCUGGCACCUCCUUUAUUGAAUACCUUUCUGCUAGUCAUGCUGGCCCGGAUGAUCUCUGAAUGCUGACAACCACCCAGCUAUGGUUAACCCGCGUUCAUCGACUCAGCGUUUAUGUGCUGGGACCCAAAACGUGCCUGCGUGUGCGCGGAUGCACGCGGACUGCAAGGUCCGUGAAGGCGGUGACUGGAUCUCCCUUGGUCACAGUUAGAUCCCCAGCACCUGGACCACAAGUCUGGACAUAAAGAAGAGAGCAGGAGUAGGAGAGGGGCAGAGAGGGAGGGAGAGAGGGAGAAUCCCAAACAGGCUCCACACUCAGCGAGGAGCCCGAUGCAGAGCUUGAUCCCACGACCCUGAGAUCAUGACCUGAGCCAAAAUCAAGAGUUGGAUGCUCAACCGAGCCACCCAGGCGCCCCAGCGAGGACUUGUUACAAAGGAAAUGUAAGAGGAAAGUGCUCAAAGGCACAUAGGACCUGGAGGGUGGUGAAGAGGGGCUUCAUGUCAGCUCCAGACUUUGGGAUGUGGGGAGUUGGGGAGUAAAACCUCCAGGAGGGCAGGGUCUGGAUAUGUGGCUAAUGCUCUAUUCCCAGGGUUUAGACCAGGCAUGGCAUACGGUAGGUGCUUAGUAAAUACUUGCUGAGUAGAA